AAGGCAGGUCGGGCAAUCGCGGUGGGUGCGAAUCCAUCGAGGAAGGUCCGGACUCCACAGAGCAGGAUAGCGGCUAACGGCCGUCCAGCCGCCGCCGGAUUCAGUCCGGCCGGUGGCUGAGGAAUAGGGCCACAGAGACGAGUCUGCGGCGCGGGCGCGCUUUGGCGCGCACCGGUACGGCCAUCUCCGUACUGCGUCUGUCGGCGACGAUGGGCGGCGUGGCAGGGUGAAACGCGGCAACCUCUAUCCGGAGCAACACCAAAUAGGCAUGUGCACGGCUUUCGGGCCUGAAGGGCGGCUCGCUCUAGCAUGCGGGUAGGUGGCUACAGCGGCUCAGCAAUGAUCCGCGCAGAGGAAUGAUUGCCCGCCGGGGUGACUCGGUGUACAGAAUCCGGCCUAUAGACCUGUCUUGCAG
rnacentral:RNase_P_RNA from 1 species